ensembl:lncRNA
CACGAGAGCAAGCUUGCAAUGCAAUAGUAUACAAAUGAAUAGUAAUAUCAAUUUUUAUCAGCGCAAAUGGUCGCAGGCACGCCCACACGCACGAAUGUAGGCCUACGGAAAUAGAAAAAAUAUCCCGCUUAUUAUAUGGUUACUUGCCAAAACAAUAGAAGACAUUUCUCCAAAAUACCUCUGUUUAAUGAUUUUUUUGCCGUUUAGUUCUUCACGCAAAUGCGAAGCAACCCACCUUCUGACUUCAAGUUUCAAUGACUUUCAGUUACGUUAAAUGACUACUCGCGUUGCGGAAUGAUAUGAAAGAUGUGAAUUAGAAGCACAAAACCCGUUGCCAAUGACAUGACAAGUCAUACAUUUUUCACAGCAGUGAAUAUAAAGAAAUUACAGACCUGCGAACGUUGGGAUGGCCCAUUCCAAUCAACAGAACUUUUUGGAACAUUCUGAAGAGCCGUAUAAUAAAUACAGGUAUUUACGUUUGAUUACUAAUUUACAAUUGACCUCCGCGGGCCGCGCAGGGACAGCCAACGGGCCGCACUUUGCCCAGGUCUGCUUUAUAGGAAGGAAGGAAGGAAGGAGACAUUUUGAACAGGGCCACUGCCUCACCGUCUCGCUGUCUAUUAUUCUUUUUUUUUUUUACUUUUCACGAUUACAGGUGAGGCCCCGCCUCCCCAUGACCAUCGACUCCAUACACAGUGAAUAACGUUGAUUAAACUUGACAGAGACAAGGUAAAUGAGGUAUUAUCAAAUAGCAUAGCUAACAGUAAGCAAGGCUAUAUAGUGCGAACUAAAACGAUUUACACCAUCACUCACGUACGAAAAAGACGGUUUAGAAAACAAACAUGUUUUAAAACGACCUUAUACUGAUCAAAUUAUUACUUACAACACGUCUCCGUUUCAAUGGGUCGGAGCUGUCGCGGCAGCAGUGAAAUAUGCAGUGGUGGAAUGUAACGAAGUAUUUUUACUUCGUUACUUUACUUACAUUUUUACGUAUCUGUACUUUACUUAAGUAAAA